rnacentral:tRNA from 1 species
AGGCCCAUAGCUCAAUUGGUAGAGCAUUGGUCUCCAAAACCAAAGGUUGUCGGUUCGAGUCCGGCUGGGCCUG